AUUGCCAGAGAAUCUUGUUAAAAUGUGAUUCUAAUAUAGGUCUGGGGUGGGGCCUGGGAUUCUGCAUUUCUAACAAGCUCCCAGGUAAUG
rnacentral:pre_miRNA from 1 species